AGUGAACGCUGGCGGUAGGCCUAACACAUGCAAGUCGAACGGCAGCACAGUAAGAGCUUGCUCUUACGGGUGGCGAGUGGCGGACGGGUGAGGAAUACAUCGGAAUCUACUUUUUCGUGGGGGAUAACGUAGGGAAACUUACGCUAAUACCGCAUACGACCUACGGGUGAAGGCAGGGGAUCUUCGGACCUUUCGGGUUUGAUGUCGCGGAUUCCGGUUUAGCUAGUUGGGGGGGUAAAGGCCAACCAAGGCGACGAUCCGUAGCUGGUCUGAGAGGAUGAUCAGCCACACUGGAACUGAGACACGGUCCAGACUCCUACGGGAGGCAGCAGUGGGGAAUAUUGGACAAUGGGCGCAAGCCUGAUCCAGCCAUACCGCGUGGGUGAAGAAGGCCUUCGGGUUGUAAAGCCCUUUUGUUGGGAAAGAAAAGCAGCAGGUUAAUACCCCGCUGUUCUGACGGUACCCAAAGAAUAAGCACCGGCUAACUUCGUG
rnacentral:rRNA from 1 species